GCCCUCUCAGGGUCACAUCUGGAGAGUUCCUGGUACUCUACCAGUCUCGACUAUGGAAGGGAGAGUCAAGCAGAGGCAUACCCAUUCCAUUCCUAGUAUGGCCAGUGGCUAGUGAGUGGAAGGCAAUCUGCUACAAAU